rnacentral:lncRNA from 1 species
AAGCAACCCUGCACAGAGGGAAAGAAGAAUCUCAACAUACAGUCCUCAGCAGCUUUAGCAUGGGCAACAAAUUAAGUCUCUGUAAAAGGCCCAAAGGACAGGGUUUGGUGAGAUUCUGGAGAGCUGGAAACAUGGAGGUUGACAGGAAUGUAAAGAAGAACUCAUUUACAUGCCAGGAGGGUGGAACACCCCAAUUCCAUGAGGAUAACUGCUCCUGUACUCCAGACCUCACCCCAUGUGUCUCUUCAUCUGGCUGGUUAUUUGUCCUUUAAGAUCUCCUUACUCAACCAGUAAAUGUGUCUUUACAUUGUUUUAGUCUUGAACUAGAAGAUGAAAGCAUCAAAUAAAGAAAUAUACUGUGGGUAUAUGGAUUACAAAAAAAGUGCUGGAUGUUCCAUGCCCUCAAACAUUGGACUCCAAGCUCUUCAGCUUUGGGACUUCAACUGGCUUCCUUGCUCCUCGGCUUACAGAUGGCCUAUUGUGGGACCCUGUGAUCGUGAUGGUCAGAGGAGGAUUGGU